CCUGCCCUCGAGCGACGCACGACUCGCACGACAGGUCGUUCGACGCCGCGCUCCAUCCCUUCGCCGCCGCCGAUCCAUCCCUUCGCCGCCGGCCAUCCAUCAUUGUGCCGCCGCCGAUCCAUCCCUCCGCCGUCUCCCUCGCACUUCAAAGCCAGCGGCCUCCAGCGGACCAUCCACUUUAGGACACGCCGCCGCCAGCCUCCUCCCAGACUACUCCCUGCACCGUGCCGUCACAGACCUCCUCCCGUGCGCCUCCCCGCACGCGCCGUCGCCUACAUACCCCUGCGCACCACCCCGCACCGCAACUCCCUCGCUCGUGCCCCCCUCAGUUGCACACAGUUCGGCGGCGUGCUAGGGUUAGCACUGACGACGCCUUCAGCCGCACCUUCGAGGCAGCCCUCGUCUCUCUCUGCCUCCCCGAGGAGAACCACCUCGGCUUGCCCCCCUGACCGAUGAUGUCUAGAUCGAGGUCUUCGUUGCCGGAUCAAGGUCUGUUGUUGUCGGAUCCAUGAAGAUUUGGCGCCGUCGUCGCGCUAGUUCUGGUUCAUCGACCAGAUCGAUCCCAUCAGAGAGGAGGAGGUUCAUAGUGGAGGGCCGCUGGAGGAGAGAGAUGACCUCACAGGCACCGCAUCACGCGGCUGGCCCUUGUUUACGCCAUGGCGAGUGACCCCAGCAACACGUGCCAAGGCUACCAGUGCGAAAAGCGGGGCCCAAUGACUGACACCUCGCCAGUGAGAUCAUCUCUAAUCUCUCCUCUUGAUUGUCUUCCCGCACUCGCCCAUAUGUUCUAACCAGUAAAUUGCGUUUCUGCCACCGAUGUUGUCGUCGUUCUUGCAGAGAUCGUUGGUGCCCAAUGGCACACCGAAGUAUCCCACUAUGUGCACGUGCUCGGCAGCUUGCCACGAGACUCUCUAACACCAACAUCUGGGUGGUACGUACGCAGGACGUGGGCAACUUUGACAAUCCAGUCAAUGCACUGAUUCAUGGAUCAUGUAGGUUGCUCUACAGGUUGGUCACAAGACACUGGUAGAAUUGCACCUGCAAGCUCUGAAUACUCAUGUUCUUUGUUAGAUCAUCAAGGUGAUUAGCCUGCUGCUUAGAUUAGGACACAACGGAGGUUUAUCAGCAUGUGUGCGACUGACAACCCGUUGCAGGCUUGCAGCUGUGCUUAGUCAAUGUGGACUAUUCUUUCCAUGACACAAGAAAAAUGUCAACUAUCCUCAUGGGAAAUUAGUUGCACAAUUAUUUCAGAUAAGUUUCGUAGUACAGUUACUCCUGCAUCUGCCCAACUUGUUCUGUUGAUGAUAUUUAUAUUCAUAAAUUAGCAACGAGAACAAAAGGACUUUUAAGUGUUCGACCCCAACAGAGAUCUCAUUGAUAUUCCGUUGUUCAAUGUUCAGUAUGGGAGGAGUAUUAUCUUCUACCGAUGAGGUGGAAAAUGUACUCCCAAUGAAACAACAGAAGAUUGCACCAUGAGGAUGCCACAAAAUCAUCUGCAGAAUAUGCAUGCUAACAGAAUUCAGCAAGCCAACGUACAACGAUUCUCCAUGUUGGAAAGGAACAAGAAUUCUGAUGACAAUCCUGUCAAUGCGUUGAUGGAUAGGCCGUGCAGGUCCCUGUCGAGGCCUCGCGCCAAGCGGAAGAGCGGGACGAGGACACUUGACAAGGACGCGCCAGCUCACAGUUAAUCGUGCACAUUGGCCAGGAGUGUAUUAAUUUUUUGGGCUUGAAAUUAACUACUUAACCAGGGUACGUGAUGUAUUUACUAAUGUGGAUUUCUGUUGUUCAUUUGCAGCGGUAUUGGACUGAAUGGGGAAUCUAUUUGUGCAUCUAAUUUGUCAAACUAGGGGCAUAGCAAUUUUCGCUCAUAGAUAGUGCGACAAUCAUGUUAAUGUGAUAAAAGGAUAUGAAAGGUGAUGGUAUGCAUGCUAUUGAGGUCUAUCAAAUGAUGGGAAACCUCUAAUAUAUCAUUUAACUCCUUUAUGGGCACAAUGGUGAUAUAUCUUACAUAUCUGUAUAUUGCAUCUGAAACUUCAAUGUAGUUAAUUGCAAAAUUUACCUUAAACAAGAUUGAGCGACCUGGCAGAUGCUUAUGAGCUUUUGAAGCUCGAUGGUUCAUAUUAUCAUGGAUGAGAUGACAAGGAAGAGCGUGAUAUAAGAGGUUUGGGUCGGUCUUGGCAUGUUUUAGAUUUCUUGAGGUAGGUCAAUCAAUCUGGCAUAAUGCUAUGAAGGAAAAAUUUGCAAAGAUUACUCAAAAGGAUAACUGGCUUGCAUGGCUCAAAAGGAUGUUGGCGGCGUUUCUCUUUGCAUAUGAUCAGUCGGUUAAAUUGCUAAAACAUGACCACUUGAUAUCAUCUCUUGUGAAUAGUCUGUGACUCUCAUGUCACACGGCAUUUCUCUUUGUACACAUAUUUUGUUAGCCCGUGCGUUGAUGGGGUUCUAUUUGUAUGUUUUUGAAGAAUGAACGUUUCAUGCUUACUGUACAUCAUGCUACCACUAAAAGGCAACUAAAAUUUAGUUUCAAUAAUCUUCAGUCUGGGGAGGUAAGCUGUUUAUCUUACUUUCACUUUUAAAUUGUUUGCUGAAUCACUACACGCAUGUGCUCCUAUCUACUACAUUUUUCUCAAUUGUAAGAUGUUAUGAAUAAUUUGUUUUAAUAUAUACACAUGGUUGUGUGGCUUGCACAAGUGCAAAGUCCUUCCAUUUAUAUCCAUUCUAUUGAGAUGGACUGUGUUGUGCAGCUUAUCAUGUGUGUUAAAAGAGAAUGCAUGUUAGAGCAUGCUUUUCAUUUCAGAGUCUUUGACAGUUGAUCUGAAGCUACAUUUUAGCCAUUUUGAUACCACUCACUUCUAUGGUAAGUUUGUGUGGCUGACCACAUUCAGUCCUAUAUUUUUCUCUACCACAUAAGUACAUGUAUGUUCCUUGCCCUCUUCUUAGUUGAUAAGAGUCACAUGAAUUAGAGAAAGCAUACUGUCAUGAAUUUCCUUUGGACCAUACUUUAGCUGUUUUACAUGGCUUCAUAAACUUUCGAUCCGUCUGGAUUUGAGAUUUUUUAUGUGUCCAUUCUUUCGAGACUAGCACACAUGAAAGAAAAAGCUUUCGUCCUCCUGAGAUCUUGGCUUCCGGCAUAUUAGAUGGACGUAGUUCUAUUUAUAUGGUUUUUUCCUUUUCCUUUUGUUUGGCCUCGGUGCUUUUCCUUUUUGCCAACACAUAGGAGUCUACGACUCGACUGCAGCAUUACUACAUCUGUUAUUUGUAAAGCUAAAGAAAACAUUGAAAGAACACCUGCCAUUUUGUGGCCUGUAACUUCUAUUUGAGCUCUUUUAAGUCAAGUUAGUCAUUACCAUGUCUGCUGGAUAUGACAUCGCUCGUUUUGUAAGAUUUCAGGUUCUUAGCAUACCUCUACUCUACCGAAUCAGUAUACUUUAUCAGGAUCAUAGAUAUGUCACCCAUUAUGUUCCACCCUUAAUGAGAUUUAUGAAGUGUCAAAUCGUCACAAGUAUUUUAUCUAGAGCAGCAAUACCUGAUUUUUUUGUCACAAUGUCCAUGUUUAUUUAUCUGUUUUUUUUUUGUAAUGACUACAUUUUGAUUCUUAAUGAAGAAAAGUGUGAAUGCCCUCUUGAGUAUAGAAAUUCCUAACUAAAUGUAUUUUUUGUUAUUGGAUGAUGAAACAGGAAGGUUAUUACCUUAACCACACUUCUGAUUUUGGUCUUGUAGUACAUACAAGGCAGCAACUAAAUGUAUUGCUAAUCUUGCAGCCGAGACAAUCCUACAAGCUAGAUCAGGAGAAUAUGAGGUCCCAGAAAGAGUUAUCAUUCUUGCAGUUCAAGAAUGAGGAUUGAUGAGAGAUACAACAGAUGAAGACAAUUGAAGUGAAGGGGAGAGAGGGAGAAAUAUGGUGCUUUGUCUUUCUGCAAUGAUAGAGUGGUGAAGGAGACACGAUGACUAUCGAGGAGGAAUGAAGCGGGCGAGAGCGUGGAUAUUUGUUUAUGUGAAUAGAAACCAGAAGUGUCAUGUUUGAUAUAUGUUCAUAAAUUACAACAGUUUAUGCAUUCAGUGUGUAUAUUAUUUUUUUGUACGUGACAACGCACAAGCAUUGAACUAACUGUAUGAAAGGAAAACAGUUCAAUUC